rnacentral:misc_RNA from 1 species
CAUCAAUCCAUUUCACCUCAAAUCCCCAUGCACCUUUUCGAGCUAUCACACGAGACCACAUGAACUGACUGGAAUCCCAGCGCGUCCGCAGACCGAAACGCGGCUGAAACGUUGCCAAAAUCACUCAAUCCUUCCACCACCAGGCACACCGAGUAGCUCCGGUUCUUCACCGCACUCCUAAACCUUUCCUUCCUCUCUUCCAUUAUGUACGGCCCCACCGCCUCCAAUACUUCCCCGCUAUUCAAAUAUACCCCAUUCCCACACUUAAACCUAUCCAAGUAAGGAAACCACCGCCCUAGCAGUUGUGCGGGCUCAACUCCACUGUCGAAAACCGGCGACAACCUCCUCUCCAUUUUCAUCAGUGUCGAAACAUCAUCGCGGUUGUUGAGCAAGUACUCUACGGUGUUGUUUUUCUCGGAGUUAUCUUGGGAUUCGCCUGCUUCAAAUUCUGUGGAUUCUAACGAGAUUGCUCCUUGCAGAGUCCCAUAAGGCCUUGCACGGACUCUGCAGGGACUAGUUCCUGGAAGGGAUCGAGAGAGGAGAUGAAAAUUGAGGGAGAGGAAGGGAACAGAGCGGAGAGAGAAUGGAAAGAAAGAUUUGGAAUUGAAGAAAUGUGGUUUUGAUUUUUCGAGGGAAGAAAUCGAUGUGCAGAUUAGGGUUAAGGUUUUGCAGGAUCUCAUUUUUGGAUAUG